rnacentral:rRNA from 1 species
UACGUAGGGCGCAAGCGUUGUCCGGAAUUAUUGGGCGUAAAGAGCUCGUAGGUGGCUUGUCGCGUCUGCCGUGAAAGACUCGGGCUUAACUCGGGUUCGGCGGUGGAUACGGGCUGGCUAGAGGUAGGUAGGGGAGAACGGAAUUCCUGGUGUAGCGGUGAAAUGCGCAGAUAUCAGGAGGAACACCGGUGGCGAAGGCGGUUCUCUGGGCCUUACCUGACGCUGAGGAGCGAAAGCGUGGGGAGCGAACAGG